GGGGCCAUGCCCUUUUGUCACCACCUGCUAAAUAGCAUGCAUACCGAGGUUGUGCCAUUUGAAAAAGCUAAAAGGGCACAUUCUGGAUCCUGAAUUUUGGGUGUGGUUCGUGUAAGAAGGAUGACCUGAAGCUCCAAUGAUCAGUGGAUCAUAGUCAAAGAAAAGACUCUCCAUACAGAUUAACAUGGGUAAACGAAUAUUUUAAGUAGCAAAAAACAUCACAGCCCUGCUGCCAAUCACCUGGGAACCACGCUUCUCUUUGGCGCCUGAAAACAACUGAACUGAAGCAUGGACCGAGGAAGUUUCCCUCCUCACCAGGACUCUCCUCUGAUGCCCUUCCUGACACAGGGUGGAGGACUCUACACGUGAGAGAAGACUUACAUCGUCUGCUUGACUUCUUGAUCCAUUCAGCACCCAAGCACCUUGCCAGACAUUGUGCUGAAUGCUUAGGAUCCAAGAUAAAAGGCCAAGAAGCUAUCUGUUCCUGGGGAGCUCUCUACUCUACUCUGAUUUGAGUGUGGAGGUCUGUGAUAGACAAUAAAUGAAUAUACACAUACGUAAAGAACAAUUUCUGUAAUUGCAGGUUGUCAUUAGGCCUGAGAAGG
rnacentral:lncRNA from 1 species